rnacentral:rRNA from 1 species
UACGGAGGGGACUAGCGUGGUUCGGAAUUACUGGGCGGAAAGCGCACGUAGGCGGAUUUGUAAGUCAGGGGUGAAAUCCCGGGGCUCAACCUCGGAACUGCCUUUGAUACUGCAAAUCUCGAGUCCGGAAGAGGCGAGUGGAAUUCCUGGUGUAGCGGUGAAAUGCGCAGAUAUCAGGAGGAACACCGGUGGCGAAGGCGGGUCUCUGGGCCGAUAUUGACGCUGAGGAGCGAAAGCGUGGGGAGCGAACAGG